GGGAAACGUGUGCGCGCUGGGCGCAGCUAAAGACCCCAGCCUGGGGACAUUCUCCAGCCCACAUCUCGAAGAGCCUCUGCGACGCCUGUCGUCAUCUACUCCUGAAGUAGACCUCCCCUCGGUCUCCAGCAUCUCUGGCUCAGGUUCUGGCCCGGAGAAAUCAGCCUUCUGGGGAUGUCCCUGGCCCUGAAUGCUGGAAGAGCCGUAAGCUUCCCCACGUAGGGGGGCAGCGCAGUUCGCCCCAACAUCCCAGAGAAGCUGAGCGCCCCCGCCUAUGCACCCCACCCAUCCCUAAACCCUGACGGGUGAGGAGAGUGGGGGAGAUCUUGCAGACAGCAUCCCGCAUACCUCCUCUCCCCCACCCCACCCUGCCAAGUAAACACGGGGACUUUCUCGAGAGCCCUGGAGUAGGGCUCUAGUGGCUUGGGGCCUGAAACCCCAGGCUUGGCUUGUUUGAUGUUUAGCAUCCCAAAGCGGCACACCACCCCCUCCCCAGCCUGGGAACUUGGAGCUGUGGGUCGGAGAGGGAGGAAAGCAGCCCUCUCAGUCGGCCAGGCUGGGGACUGGACUGGGUUCUGGAAAGGCGAGAAGAGCCGGCCAGAGAUGCUCUGAGCAGGGGAGAAGGGAGACCCGGCUGCCGCCCCCCCCCCAACAGAGACACUUGUGGGUACAGCUGGAGUUGUCAAGGCCUGGAGGUGGGUGGGGGCAGGGAAUGCUCAGCAGCCGGGCAGGGUCUCUGGGAUAGGGGCUGGCCCUGAGGGAGGUAGCUUGGGGCCCUCGAGUGAAAUCAGACUCAGGCCCGAGGCGACCGCGCGAGAAACGGUCGGGGCACUUACUCCUGGAGGCGGAGGAGGCCCCGCGCGCUCCAGUCCAAGGGCCUCGCAGGAGGCAGGUCUCCUUCCCGCUACCUUACAAAAGGGAAGACUUGCUCGGGAGCCUUCCGAGGAUUUUAAAUCCUCCUGGGUCAGGGGCAGGCCUGGGGCUGGCAUCAAGGUCUCGGGUUUUGAGACCCCAGGGAGGAAUUCUCAUACUGAGGCCACACACUUCUCCGAGCGCGCUCGCCGGCGUAUGCGCGUCGGUGAGGGGCUAUCUCCAGGCGCGAGUGCACAAAAGGUAGCGCGAGUCUCUUCUCAGGCGACUGGAGAUAAGAGGAAAUGAGAGCGGGGUUUUCUGACUUCCAACUCAUUAGGGACCAGGUUGUUUCUUCAGGAUCAGGCACAGAGACUGACUGAAUGGCUCCAAUGAUCAGGAUUUGAAAACCUAAUAUCAGAAUCUGCUGUUUUGUCCUGGCAAUGGGAUUGGUGACUCUGAUGGCCAGCUCAGCUGCUCUUUCCACAAUGGCUUUGCAGUUCUUGGAGGAGACAUUGUGAGCCAUCUGUGCACACAGCUACUUGAAAUACUUUAUCAGUGAAAGUCUUGACUCAGCAAACAUACGUGUAAGAACGUGGAGCAGUUACCUACAGAGUCCAUUGUUCACCUGUUUAUCCUGGAUUUAGAACUAUUUCUUAUGUUUGCUGAUGUCUGAGAGGCUAUGGCUUACUCCAUUUAUACCCAGGUUGGUAUACACAUUCACUCGUUUCUUCAUUCAUUUACACAUUUAUUUAUUUAUUCACUUUGUUAUUUGUGGCAUACAGAUUCAUAUGUAGCCCUCAGUGAGCCCUGCUUUCUGGUGUUUACCCAUGUGUGUGGGCAGGACAUAUGACUUGCUUCUAACCAACAGAAUAUAGUAAAGGUGACGAAAUGUCCCCUCUGUGAUUGAUUACAUAAUAAAGACUCUAUCUUGUUGGAAGACUCAAUCUAGAGAGUGUCCUUGCUGGCUUGAUGAGAUAAGCGGCCAUGUUGGGGAAAACCCCAUGGUGAGAAACUGUGGACAGUUUCCAGACAACAGCCAGGAAGAAGCUGGGAUCCUUGAUCUUAGAGCUGCCAGGAAAUGAAUUCUGCCAAGAAUGUGAGUGAACUUGGAAGGUAUUUCUUCCCCAGUUGAGCCUCCCGAUGGGAACACAGUCCAGAUGAUACCUUGCUUGCAGUCUUGUGAGACUGUAAGUAGAGGGACCAUCUAAGCCAUGCCUUCACCUGUAGAAACUGUGAAAUGAUAAGUGGCUAUUGUUUUUAGCUACUAAGUAUGUGUUAAUUUGUUGUGCAGCUAUAGAAAAUGAAUACACUAUGCUGUGCUAACUACCAUAUAGGCCUUCUCUCAGUACCUGAAGUAGCCUCAUGAGCCUGACACUAAUAUUAUUCCCAUUUUACAGAUGAAGAAACUGAGCCUCAGGAACUGAACUGCAGAAUGUCCUGCUCUCAACCACUGAACUAUCAUGCUAUGUUUCAUUUUUAAUGUAUUUCAUUAUUUCACAAAUUCAAGUUUAUCACGGUUUAAAACUUAUCUCCUGAACAUGCCAACUGUAUUUACAAAAAGCCCUACUAGGCACACCUAGUACACAAAAUACAUGUUUUUAUAAAUGCAACAUUACAAGGAACUUUUCUUUUGUGCUACAUUUUUACCAUGUAUCUCACAGAAAUAAUAUUAGAUUCAUGAAUAGAAAAGUUUCUAUUUUCUGUUAAAGUAGUGAUAGACUGUAUCACUAAAAUAGUGAUAGACUGUACACUAUUUAGAAGGGAGAAUAAUUAUGGCUGAUAGAAGCCCCAGAUUCAUGGGAAUUGAUUUGGAGUUAUAACAGUCAAGUAAACAUCCAUUAGAAUGUGCUGGAUCUUACUGCAGGACAAAAACGUUUCAUCUUGGGUCCUAACUUUCCCAUUUAUGUUCAGGUAUAGGGAAACAUUAGGAAGUGGGGAGAUUGAGAAAUACUUAAAAGAAAAACAACAACAACUAAAGUCCUAUUUGGAUCAGUGCUCUGAGAAUCUGAGAUAGGAUUAUGACCCCACUACUCUGUCUUCUAAUGACAGCUCUUUCUAUUCUGCAUUUAUCAGAUGUUAAUUAUUCAUACUGCAUGAUUGAUGAUUUUGGAGUCAGAGAUUCACCUGCAAUAUUUGGAAUACUGGUGGAGGCCUACAUCAACACAGAAUUUAUAAAGCAGCUGGUGCUAGUCAAAGCUAAUGAUGGAAUUUCAGUUUAAUAAAAAGACCCCCAACUGAGCACACCAUCUUGAAAAAAGUAUACUUAUCAAACGGCUUUCAAUCAGUUCAAGAGAGACACCUUAAUUGGGAAGAGGAAAAUUUGCAGAGCAGUUUGUCAUUGUGCCAAUUCUAGAUCAAUAACUGCAUGUCUGCUCUUUGGGAGACAUAGCUUUUGCUUUAUAUUGAGUAACCACAUUGACUUCCUCUCCACUUGGGUACACUCUGUUUCAUUUGAUAAUGUUAAAGGAUAUCUUCUUUUAAUUCACCUCUGUGUCUUCAUAAUAAACAUGAGCAAAUGUA